GACGAACGCUGGCGGCGUGCUUAACACAUGCAAGUCGAACGGAAAGGCCCUGCUUUUGUGGGGUGCUCGAGUGGCGAACGGGUGAGUAACACGUGAGUAACCUGCCCUUGACUUUGGGAUAACUUCAGGAAACUGGGGCUAAUACCGGAUAGGAUCUCCUGCUGCAUGGUGGGGGUUGGAAAGUUUCGGCGGUUGGGGAUGGACUCGCGGCUUAUCAGCUUGUUGGUGGGGUAGUGGCUUACCAAGGCUUUGACGGGUAGCCGGCCUGAGAGGGUGACCGGACAAAUUGGGACUGAGAUGCGGCCCAGCCUCCUACGGGAGGCAGCAGUGGGGAAUAUUGCACAAUGGGCGGAAGCCUGAUGCAGCAACGCCGCGUGCGGGAUGACGGCCUUCGGGUUGUAAACCGCUUUCGCCUGUGACGAAGCGUGAGUGACGGUAAUGGGUAAAGAAGCACCGGCUAACUACGUG
rnacentral:rRNA from 1 species